rnacentral:rRNA from 1 species
UACGAAGGGGGCUAGCGUUGCUCGGAAUCACUGGGCGUAAAGCGCACGUAGGCGGCUUUUUAAGUCAGGGGUGAAAUCCUGGAGCUCAACUCCAGAACUGCCUUUGAUACUGAGAAGCUUGAGUCCGGGAGAGGUGAGUGGAACUGCGAGUGUAGAGGUGAAAUUCGUAGAUAUUCGCAAGAACACGAGUGGCGAAGGCGGCUCACUGGCCCGGUACUGACGCUGAGACGCGAAAGCGUGGGGAGCAAACAGG